ACUCCUACGGGAGGCAGCAGUGGGGAAUUUUGCGCAAUGGGGGAAACCCUGACGCAGCAACGCCGCGUGAGUGAUGAAGGCCCUUGGGUCGUAAAGCUCUGACAGAGGGAAAGAAGUGUAGAGUGGCUAAUAUCCACAUUACUUGACGGUACCCUCAAAGGAAGCACCGGCUAACUCCGUGCCAGAAGCCGCGGUAAUACGGGGGGUGCAAGCGUUGUUCGGAUUUAUUGGGCGUAAAGCGCGUGUAGGCGGUUUUAUAAGUCUGAUGUGAAAGCCCUGGGCUCAACCCGGGAAGUGCAUUGGAUACUGUAAGACUUGAAUACGGGAGGGGGCAGUGGAAUUCCUAGUGUAGGAGUGAAAUCCGUAGAUAUUAGGAGGAACACCGGUGGCGAAGGCGGCUGCCUGGACCGAUAUUGACGCUGAGACGCGAAAGCGUGGGUAGCAAACAGGAUUAGAUACCCUGGUAGUCCACGCCGUAAACGAUGAGAACUAGGUGUCGCGGGUA
rnacentral:rRNA from 1 species